CUGACUUUCAUUGAUGGUUUUCAUGCAGGUACAAGAAACAUCCCACGCCACAGAGAUACCUUCUGAAGCAGGAGAGUCCAGCCGCCCAAACAGAUAUCCGGGUAUUCUUGCCUUCCGGGUUCUUCAAUGAUUCAUGCAGAUCCCUGCACGCUAGAGUUUUGUCAUCACGUGACUGUAACAGCAUGACGUCAUACUUGACCGUGUGUGUGAAUGAACACUGUAGUGUAGCCAGUCAUAUUUUGAAUGCAUAGUCAAAAAUAAUCAAAAGUGAGUAGGAAAAAACACAUGAACAUUAUUCUGAUUCCUACCUACGCUGGAGAGAUUUGGUAUCAGUUUGACGUUGCAGGUAUGAUCAGGUUUUCCCAAUAAUCUAACCAAGGAGGUCUAUUUCCGUUUCGAAGUAAGUGACACACAACUAAAGAACAUGCACGUACGCAUAACAUUUUACUUAACGUCUAGUACCUUUAUGUACGCGUGCAUUUGUAAUAAUUCUAUAUUUUCUACAUUUCAUUUCUUACCAACGAUGAUAGUAAUUGAAAUCCCAAAACCAAUGGUAAAACAGUGUGAUCUCUUUUUCUUUUUGCAGUAAAGUUCAUAUCGUGUUUGGCCUUCAUCGCCAUUCAAGUAAUCAAAUUGGUAAUCUAAUAUCUAAAUAGGAGCAAACAAAGUUUUUAUGAUAUCUGACAAUGCUGAAGCAAACGAGGUUUAUAUAUUUGAAACUUUCCAUUUUGGUUGCUUAACGUAGGGGACUGUAAGACGUGGAUCUAUAAGGUAAGAAAGUAAAACAAAUGUGUAAUAACUGGCAUAUACGUCAGAUUAUUUUAUCAAAUAUGAGACAAAGAGAGACAAACAGUUUUAAGGUAAGAACAACCAUCUACUUAAAUGUAUUAUGCAUCUUGAUCUGUGUACAUGAAAGUGAAACGAAUAAAACAAUCAUUGCCAAUA